rnacentral:tRNA from 1 species
CAAAGAGUAGUUUAAGAAAAAAUAUUAGUUUUGGAGAUUAAUGAUGGAUUAAAAUUCUUCUUUGA